rnacentral:misc_RNA from 1 species
GAUGAAGAACGCAGCGAAAUGCGAUACGUAAUGUGAAUUGCAGAAUUCAGUGAAUCAUCGAAUUUUUGAACGCAUAUUGCGCUCUUUGGUAUUCCGAAGAGCAUGCUUGUUUGAGUAUCAGUAAACACCUCAAAGUCUUUUUUUUUUCUUGAAGAAAAAGACCUUGGACUUGAGCAAUCCCAACUCUUCUUUCAGAAGAGGCGGGUUGCUUGAAAUGCAGGUGCAGCUGGACAUUCUCCUGAGCUAAAAGCAUAUUCAUUUAGUCCCGUCAAACGGAUUAUUACUUUUGCUGCAGCUAACAUAAAGGGAGUUUGACCAUUUUGGCUGACUGAUGCAGGAAUUUCACAAGAGUCUUCAAAACGCUCUUGUUAAACUCGAUCUCAAAUCAAGUAAGACUACCCGCUGAACUUAAGCAUAUCAAUAAGCGGAGGA